GAACAACUAGGUAUUAACGGUAUUAAGAACGUCCACCACUACGGGAAACGACAGAUGCGCCUCUCAAAAACUCACAAUAAACUACGAAGCUUUUUCCACUAAAAACGACGACGCGCUUCUGCAUCCUUGGAUCAUAGGACUUUUGUGAUCCAAGGAUUCUCGGGAAAUCUUGUUGAAGUUCCUCCAAAUC